UAGUCCACGCUGUAAACGAUGAGUGCUAGCUGUGGGGGAUGUUUACCUCCUUCGUGGCGAAGUUAACGCAUGAAGCACUCCGCCUGGGGAGUACGGUCGCAAGACUAAAACUCAAAGGAAUUGACGGGGGCCCGCACAAGCGGUGGAGCAUGUGGUUUAAUUCGAUGCAACGCGAAGAACCUUACCCAGGCUUGACAUCUUUCGAAGUCCGAGGAAACUUGGAUGUGCUUCCGUAAGGAAGAACGGGAUGACAGGUGCUGCAUGGCUGUCGUCAGCUCGUGCUGUGAAGUGUUCGGUUAAGUCCGGCAACGAGCGCAACCCUUAUCGCUAGUUACCAUCAUUAGGUUGGGGACUCUAGCGAGACCGCCGACGAAGAGUCGGAGGAAGGUGAGGAUGACGUCAAGUCCUCAUGGCCCUUAUGUCUGGGGCUACACACGUGCUACAAUGGUGCCUACAGAGGGCGGCGAAACUGCAAAGUGGAGCAAAUCUCAAAAAGGUA
rnacentral:rRNA from 1 species